AUUGCCCCAGUAACGGCGAGUGAAGCGGCAACAGCUCAAAUUUGAAAUCUGGCUCCUAGCGGGUCCGAGUUGUAAUUUGCAGAGGAUGCUUUUGGCGCGGUGCCUUCCGAGUUCCCUGGAACGGGACGCCGGAGAGGGUGAGAGCCCCGUACGGUUGGCCGCCUAGCCUGUGUAAAGCUCCUUCGACGAGUCGAGUAGUUUGGGAAUGCUGCUCUAAACGGGAGGUACACCCCUUCUAAAGCUAAAUACCGGCCAGAGACCGAUAGCGCACAAGUAGAGUGAUCGAAAGAUGAAAAGCACUUUGAAAAGAGAGUCAAACAGCACGUGAAAUUGUUGAAAGGGAAGCGCUUGUGGCCAGACCUGUCCCGGCAGCUCAGCCGUCCCUCGUGGGCGGUGCACUCUGCCGGGUGCAGGCCAGCAUCAGCUCGUGGCGGGGGAGAAAGGCAGCGGGAACGUGGCUCUUCGGAGUGUUAUAGCCCGCCGCUACGCCCCACCGCGGGCUGAGGUUCGCGCUCCGCAAGGAUGCUGGCGUAAUGGCCAUCAGCGACCCGUCUUGAAACACGGACCAAGGAGCGGUCCUAACAUGCGAGUGUUCGGGUGCAAAACCCCUACGCGGAAUGAAAGUGAACGGAGGUGAGAGCUUCGGCGCAUCAUCGACCGAUCCUGAUGUUUUCGGAUGGAUUUGAGUAAGAGCAUGUUGGGACCAGCCCGAAAGAAGAUGAUCUAUGCUUGGAUAGGGCAAAGCCAGAGGAAACUCUGGUGGAGGCUCGCAGCGGUUCUGACGUGCAAAUCGAUCGUCAAAUCUGAGCAUGGGGGCGAAAGACUAAUCGAAUCUUCUAGUAGCUGGUUUGCGCCGA
rnacentral:rRNA from 1 species